rnacentral:rRNA from 1 species
CAGCAGCCACGGUAAUACGUAGGUCCCGAGCGUUGUCCGGAUUUAUUGGGCGUAAAGCGAGCGCAGGCGGUUAGAUGAGUCUGAAGUUAAAGGCUGUGGCUUAACCAUAGUACGCUUUGGAAACUGUUUAACUUGAGUGCAAGAGGGGAGAGUGGAAUUCCAUGUGUAGCGGUGAAAUGCGUAGAUAUAUGGAGGAACACCGGUGGCGAGAGCGGCUCUCUGGCUUGUAACUGACGCUGAGGCUCGAAAGCGUGGGGCGCAAACAGGAUUAGAUACCCCAGUAGUCCCUGUCUCUUAUACA